rnacentral:rRNA from 1 species
UACGACUACAUAUCAGGCAUAUCAAUAAGCGGAGGAAAAGAAACUAACAAGGAUUCCCUUAGUAACGGCGAGUGAAGCGGGAAGAGCUCAAAUUUGAAAUCUUCAAGGUUUUACCUUGACGAAUUGUAGUUUAAAGAAGUGUUUUCUGUUGGAGUUUUGGUAAAAGUUCUUUGGAAUAGGACAUCAUAGAGGGUGAGAAUCCCGUAUUUGACCAUUAUUUUCAGCUGUGUGAUACACUUUCAAAGAGUCGGAUUGUUUGGGAAUGCAGUCCAAAAUGGGUGGUAAAUUUCAUCUAAAGCUAAAUAUUGGCGAGAGACCGAUAGCGAACAAGUACCGUGAGGGAAAGAUGAAAAGAACUUUGAAAAGAGAGUUAAACAGUACGUGAAAUUGUCAAAAGGGAAGCGUUUGACACCAGUGUUGUUUUCUCGAAAAUCAAUUAAAAAUAGUUGGAUUUUGUGUUGUAUUGACCUUAACAGCUUGCUUCACUCUUUUCCAGCUUUUUUUAAUGCACUUUUCGUUUAACAAGUCAACAUCAGUUUCUUUUGUUGUAAAAGGGUCAUUGGAAGGUGGCUUUCUCUUCGGAGAAAGUGUUUAUAGCCUUUGAUCUCUGCAAUCGGAGAGACUGAGGUCUGCAGCGUAGAUCCUUCGGGGUUAGAUACAUUUGUGCUAAGCUACAGCUUUUCAUAGACAACUUGUUGACUAUGUUUAGUCUUGUGACUUACCCGCUUAUGCUAUUUUACCUACGCUUAGGAUGUUGAGCGCAUGUCUCUCUCU